GGCAAUAUGGCCGAGUGGUCUAAGGCGCUAGAAUCAGGUGACUACCUAAUCUAGUCCUCCGGGGCGAGGGUUCGAAUCCCUCUGUUGUCA